UACGGGGGGGGCAAGCGUUGUUCGGAAUUAUUGGGCGUAAAGAGCGUGUAGGCGGUCCGGUAAGUCGGCUGUGAAAGCCCGGGGCUCACCCCCGGAAGUGCAUUGGAAACUGGUGGACUCGAGUCCCGGAGAGGAGAGUGGAAUUCCUGGUGUAGCGGUGAAAUGCGUAGAUAUUAGGAGGAACACCGGUGGCGAAGGCGGCUCUCUGGACGGUGACUGACGCUGAGACGCGAAAGCGUGGGGAGCAAACAGG
rnacentral:rRNA from 1 species